CCUACGGGAGGCAGCAGUGGGGAAUUUUGGACAAUGGGGGCAACCCUGAUCCAGCCAUUCCGCGUGAGUGAAGAAGGCCUUCGGGUUGUAAAGCUCUUUCGCAAGGGAAGAAAACUUAUGAUCGAAUAAAUCAUGAGGUUGACGGUACCUUGAUAAGAAGCACCGGCUAACUACGUGCCAGCAGCCGCGGUAAUACGUAGGGUGCGAGCGUUAAUCGGAAUUACUGGGCGUAAAGCGUGCGCAGGCGGUUUUGUAAGUCGGAUGUGAAAUCCCCGGGCUCAACCUGGGAACUGCGUUCGAAACUGCAAGGCUAGAGCGUGUCAGAGGGGGGUAGAAUUCCACGUGUAGCAGUGAAAUGCGUAGAGAUGUGGAGGAAUACCAAUGGCGAAGGCAGCCCCCUGGGAUAACACUGACGCUCAUGCACGAAAGCGUGGGGAGCAAACAGGAUUAGAUACCCUGGUAGUCCCACGACCUAACGAUAGUCACUAGUUAGUUGGUAGUAGUAAAUACUAUGUAGUAACGUAGUACUACGUACGUGAGUAGACGCCGUGGGAGGUACGGUCGCGAAGUAAGUUAAACGUUAACAAUAGUUAAGUUAGUAGGCGUUGAGACGNGCGACGGACGACGACGAGGGAGGAGG
rnacentral:rRNA from 1 species